rnacentral:lncRNA from 1 species
CUGCCUAGUGCUCACCUCGGACUGUGUGGUGAAGGCGGGAUCCUGCCCAUUGGUUUACAGCACUUGCAGAAAAUCCACAUGUUAUCAUCUGCCUGAGUGUAAACGUUCCCGACCAAUUAUCUACGUGUUGAUUGAGAUAAUUUUCCUGGAUCCUAUUUGUCACCAUGUAACGUACAGAGCAGAACAGGAUGCAGGCAGCACCUAUGUCGAAGGAGAGUGUAUUGCACCAGGAAGGAAGAGCCCAGAAAGGAAAGUCCACCCACGUCCUCUCUACCUGGCAUCAUUCCUGGGGGCCCGUGAGUGUCCUGGUGUGAUACCCUGCUUUUAGGCUCUGCAUGCAUCAGAAUUACAGGAAAGCAAGGAGCCACGACCCUGGCAGUGUCUGCCAACCUAACAGCAAGCAAGGACUGAGAUUCCAAAGGAGGAAGCAAGUCUAUGAUUCCCUCUGCUUAAAGCCAGUGUGGUAUGUCUGAACCUGCUUGAUUUUUUUCAAUAUUUGGACGAGAACAAUCAGGAAUUGAAAUCGUAAAUUAGUCUAUGUCUACUGUGCAUGACACUAAUUUUUCUUCCUGUCUCAGAGGGCCUUUGUGUUGCAGAGCCUGUAGUGUAAGCACAGAAUCAUGUGUCCAAAGAGGAUCCCCAGGGAGAUGCUACAUGGAGAGGCAGCCCCAGACCCUGGCAGGAAACCAGCCCUUCACCUCCCUCUGCACCUGCUCCUGGGCAUGAAGCACACACAUAGUGAUUGUGGGUCUUGAGUGCCCCCUGCAGCCCAUACCCUGUGUCCCUGCAGAGAGGUUUUUGUCUGGGCUGACAUGCCUUCCCCUCACUGUGCCUGUUGCACAGUAAUACCGGGCCGUGUCUUCGGUUCUCAGGCUGUUCAUUUGCAGAUAGGCCGGGUUCUGGGAGUUGUCUCUGGAGAUGGUGAAUCGGCCCUUCACAGAGUCUGCGUAGUAGGUGCUACUACCACUAGUACUAAUAGCUGCCAGCCACUCCAGCCCCUUCCCUGGAGCCUGGCAGACCCAGCUGAAAGCGUAGUCACUGAGGUCGAAUCCAGAGCCGACACAGGAGAGUCUCAGAGACCCCCCAGGCUGCACCAGGCCUCCUCCAGACUCCACCAGCUUCUCCUCACCCUGGAUUUACCUUGUAAGAGAGCAAACAAGACCACCCAGUUCGGCCGAAACUCCAUGGAGGGUGGUCUGUGUUCUUUCCGGAUCACAGAACGGGAUCCUGGGGCUGGGCUCCUUGCCAGAGCUGCAGGGUCAUGGCAGGGCUGGUUUUAUCUGCUGAGGGAGGAACCCAUUUGCAUGGCCUCCUAGUAUAUAAGCGGCUAUGGCAUCGCAUGACCCUGAAAGGGCCCUUCCCAAGAGAAGGUGUGCGUGUCUUGCCGUUGGUUGUGCCGAGAGCCUUUAGGGAAAUAUGUUUUCGUUAUGUCACUUUCUUCACAGGAAGCACAUAUGCACAUGUGCUAUGCUGAUUGCACACUUGCACAGGCCCCUCUGGUGUAGAAGUCGUUGUGUUCCUCUUACUCGAGGGGUUAACUUCAACUGGGCACGUAGAGGGUGUGCGGAGGGUCCGGGGACACACACGUGCUGGGAGUCCCUCCUCGGGUCGGCACUCGAGGUCUUCCUGCUGAACACUCCGCUGCCCUGGGCAGUUCCAGGACAGAGUGGGCAUGCCUGGAGGGGCGGGCAGACCCCUCCCUGAGGAGAACAUGAUGACAUUGUUCUGUGGUAGCGUUUUCCUGGAAAUUUAUCAUCAGGAUUCGUGGGAAAAGCACAACGGUCUCUAAA